rnacentral:rRNA from 1 species
UACGGAGGGUGCAAGCGUUGUUCGGAUUCACUGGGCGUAAAGGGUGCGUAGGUGGUGAGGUAAGUCGGAUGUGAAAUCUCCGGGCUCAACCCGGAAACUGCAUUGGAAACUACCUUGCUUGAGGAUUUGAGGGGGGAUUGGAAUACUUGGUGUAGCAGUGAAAUGCGUAGAUAUCAAGUGGAACACCAGUGGCGAAGGCGAGUCCCUGGACGAUACCUGACACUGAGGCACGAAAGCCAAGGGAGCAAACAGG